rnacentral:rRNA from 1 species
UACGGGGGGAGCAAGCGUUGUUCGGAUUUACUGGGCGUAAAGGGCGCGUAGGCGGCGCGGUAAGUCACUUGUGAAAUCUCUGAGCUUAACUCAGAACGGCCAAGUGAUACUGCAGUGCUAGAGUGCAGAAGGGGCAAUCGGAAUUCUUGGUGUAGCGGUGAAAUGCGUAGAUAUCAAGAGGAACACCUGAGGUGAAGACGGGUUGCUGGGCUGACACUGACGCUGAGGCGCGAAAGCCAGGGGAGCAAACGGG